ensembl:lncRNA
UGAAAAACAAAAAACGAGUGGUUAUUUGAUUUUCGUUUUAAAAUACAAAAAUUAAAAUUGAAAUACAAGGCGUUUUUCCUUUUCAUGAUCAAAAAGGGAUAUACGAUUUUUUUAAAAAAUGCUUUGAUUUUCGUUUUAUAUUUAGAAUAACAAGAAAGUAAAAUCAGUAAGAGACAGAAACGAAAAAAGGUCCGUUUUUUCAUUUUCUGAGACCGGAAGUGGUCAUCAGCAAGUGUGGAGCCAAACAGAGUACGGUGCAUAGACUGUACAUACAUUUUUUUGGUGAGUUUUCAUGGUCAAAAUGAGAGAUCAGGUGGCCGAUCUUAAAAUAAAUCAAUAUUGAAUUUUUUAUAGAGCGUUACAGUUUUGCGAAGCCAGGGGGCGGGAGUACUUGAUUGACAGUCUGAGACUGUUCUCCUCGUUUGGAUUAAUUCUGAUAUAAUAACUGUUGAUUUAUUUAUCGGUGCAGCAGCACAACAUUUACCACAUACAGUUUUCCUGCCCGUUGGCUUGUUUUAACCAGUUUUCUACCUUCGGCUGAUUCUACCAGCAGACACUGAAAGGACUCUGAUAUUUCGAAUGAAAGUAGCAAUUCCUCCUUAAGGUCGGAGAUUGCAGCAUCUGAGGGCCUCUUCAAAAGAAGACGUAGUUGAUGAAGGCGUUCUGGAGCAGGACCAGAAAGACCACGACCGAGCAGCCUUGAGAUCUUAGGCAGCAUCUCCCUCGGCUGGCAUCAUGAUUGGACUGUACUUUGGUCUGUUCCAAUCCAGCUUCAUCUCCAGAGACGGCAGGCGGGACGAGUCAACGGAGGCCGGGUGGACGAAGGCAUGCAGCUGAGUCGAAAAAAAAAUUUCAAAGGUCCCGCUCUAUCUCCCUACACAUCUACCAACCACUGGAACACAUCUCCAAAGUUCUGCCGGGCCAGCUCUGCUUCCCCUCAGAAGAAGUGCCGCCACCUGCCAGAUGAAGGAGCCUUUUGAGAGGCAGCUGGCAUCGUGAUUGGACUGUACUUUGGUCUGUUCCAAUCCAGCUUCUGCUCCAGAGACGGCAGGCGGGACGAGUCAACGGAGGCCGGGUGGACGAAGGCAUGCAGCUGAGUGGGAAAAAAAAAUGUGAUUUUUCAACAUGUUGUAAAAACGUGCCAUAUGAUGAAUAAUGUAAAGGAGGCUGUGAAAAACACUAUGGUAAGGUUCUCUUUGAAAAAAAAAAAAAAUCAUGAAUUUUGGCGCAAAAAAACGCCAUAGUAUACUAUGCCGAAAAAUGUCAUCUUUCAACAUGUUGUGAAAACCUGCAAUAUGAUGAAAUAAUGUAAAGCAGGCCAUGAAAAACACUCCAGAAAGGUUUUCUUUGAAAAAAAAAUCAUCAUGAAUUUUGGCGCAAAAAAACGCCAUAGUAUACUAUGUCGAAAAAAAAUGCGAUUUUUCAACAUGUUGUGAAAACAUGCCAUAUGAUGAAAUAAUGUAAAGGAGGCCGUGAAAAACACUCCAGAAAUGUUUUCUUUGAAAAAAAAUCAUCAUGAAUUUUGGCAAAUAAACGCCAUAGUAUACUAUGUCGAAAAAUGUCAAUUUUCAACAUGUUGUGAAAACAUGCCAUAUGAUGAAAUAGUGUAAAGGAGGUCGUGAAAAACAUUCCAGAAAGGUUUUCUUUGAAAAAAAAUCAUCAUGAAUUUUGGCGCAAAAAAACGCCAUAGUAUACUAUGUCGAAAAAUGUCAUUUUUCAACAUGUGAAAACAUGCAAUAUGAUGAAAUAAUGUAAAGGAGGCCGUGAAAAACACUCUAGAAAGGUUUUCUUUGAAAAAAUAAUUAUUAUGAAUUUUGGCGCAAAAAAACGCCAUAGUAUACUAUGUCGAAAAAUGUCAUUUUUCAACAUGUGAAAACAUGCAAUAUGAUGAAAUAAUGUAAAGGAGGCCGUGAAAAACACUCUAGAAAGGUUUUCGUUGAAAAAAAAAUCAUCAUGAAUUUUGGCGCAAAAAAAACGCCAUAGUAUACUAUGUCGAAAAAAAAUGCGAUUUUUCAACAUGUUGUAAAAACGUGCCAUAUGAUGAAAUAAUGUAAAGCAGGCCAUGAAAAACACUCCAGAAAGGUUUUCUUUGAAAAAAAAAUCCUGAUGAAUUUUGGCACAAGAAAACACCAUAGUAUACUAUGUUGAAAAAUGUCAUUUUUCAACAUGUUGUGAAAACAUGUCAUAUGAUGAAAUAAUGUAAAGGAAGCUGCGAAAAACACUCCAGAAAGGUUUUCUUUGAAAAAAAAAUCCUGAUGAAUUUUGGCACAAGAAAACACCAUAGCAUACUAUGUCGAAAAAUGUCAUUUUUCAACAUGUUGUGAAAAUAUGCCAUAUGAUGAAAUAAUGUAAAGGAGGCCAUGAAAAACCCUAUGGUAAGGUUCUCUUUGAAAAAAAAAAUCAUGAAUUUUGGCGCAAAAAAAACGCCAUAGUAUACUCCUUUCGGAAAAAAGUGAUUUUUCAACAUGUAAAAACAUGCCAUAUGAUGAAAUAAUGUAAAGUAGGCCGUGAAAAACACUCCAGAAAGGUUUUCUUUAAAAAAAAUCAUCAUAAAUUUUAGCGCAAAAAAACGCCAUAGUAUACUAUGUCGAAAAAUGUCAUUUUUCAACACUAAAUCUUCUUGAAAAAUGUGUUUUACUUAAGUCCACCUGUUUCAGCCAUCUCUACCCCUCAUUAGGUACCACUCUAAGGUACAUUAUACAAACAAAAGUCCAGUAGACUCACUGUGUUUUGAAAUAGCAUGCAGAGCAAGUUAGUCUGCUCACAGGAAGUUAGCACGAGCAAAAUCACUCCUCACAUGAGGCCUCUGUUUGCUGUGAUUUUCAAAGGUAAAGUAAUACUUUUGACAUAUUAUGGUGCCUAAGGAGUUGCUGAACACAAAUGUGUCAUUUGAAAUGUUAAAAAAAAGAUUUAAAAGGGUAAAAUAAUUUUUCUCAACCGUUUGGUAGAGGUCAAUAUUUAAAAAAUCGCUGGGUCACUUCAUAAAGAAACCAUUGAUUGUUGUUAUUAGUGCCCCAAAGAGAUAAGAAAUAUAAAGAAAU